UACGUAGGGUGCGAGCGUUGCCCGGAUUUAUUGGGCGUAAAGGGCGCGUAGGCGGCUCGGCACGUCCGUUGUGAAAUCGCCCGGCUCAACUGGGCGGGGUCAGCGGAUACGGUCGAGCUUGAGCAAGCUAGGGGGCAAUGGAAUUCCCGGUGUAGUGGUGAAAUGCGUAGAUAUCUGGAGGAACACCGGUGGCGAAGGCGGCAUCCUGGACCGAUAUUGACGCUGAUGCGCGAAAGCCAGGGGAGCAAACGGG
rnacentral:rRNA from 1 species